rnacentral:rRNA from 1 species
AGAGUUUGAUCAUGGCUCAGGAUGAACGCUGGCGGCGUGCUUAACACAUGCAAGUCGAACGGAAAGGCCCUGCUUGCAGGGUACUCGAGUGGCGAACGGGUGAGUAACACGUGGGUUAUCUGCCCUGUACUUCGGGAUAAGCUUGGGAAACUGGGUCUAAUACCGGAUAUUCAACUUUUGUUGGAAAGCCUUUGGGCGGUAUGGGAUGAGCUUGCGGCCUAUCAGCUUGUUGGUGGGGUAAUGGCCUACCAAGGCGUCGACGGGUAGCCGGCCUGAGAGGGUGUACGGCCACAUUGGGACUGAGAUACGGCCCAGACUCCUACGGGAGGCAGCAGUGGGGAAUAUUGCACAAUGGGCGGAAGCCCGAUGCAGCGACGCCGCGUGGGGGAUGACGGCCUUCGGGUUGUAAACUCCUUUCGCUAGGGACGAAGCUUUUGUGACGGUACCUAGAUAAGAAGCACCGGCUAACUACGUGCCAGCAGCCGCGGUAAUACGUAGGGUGCAAGCGUUGUCCGGAAUUACUGGGCGUAAAGAGCUCGUAGGUGGUUUGUCGCGUCGUCUGUGGAAGUCCGGGGCUUAACUUCGGGAGUGCAGGCGAUACGGGCAUAACUUGAGUGCUGUAGGGGAGACUGGAAUUCCUGGUGUAGCGGUGAAAUGCGCAGAUAUCAGGAGGAACACCGAUGGCGAAGGCAGGUCUCUGGGCAGUAACUGACGCUGAGGAGCGAAAGCAUGGGUAGCGAACAGGAUUAGAUACCCUGGUAGUCCAUGCUGUAAACGGUGGGCGCUAGGUGUAGGGGACUUCCACGUUUUCUGUGCCGUAGCUAACGCAUUAAGCGCCCCGCCUGGGGAGUACGGCCGCAAGGCUAAAACUCAAAGGAAUUGACGGGGGCC